AAUUAAUGCAAAGCUAAGCAGGCAUCAUUGUUAGAGAUAGAGCAUUUAUCUGGAGAUGGAUCAGUUUUCUUACACAAAGGCUAUUACAAUUUAUUAUUUAUGAUAGGCCUACUUGAUUCUUAACUAACAAUAUUUAAUUGGAUUUUUCCUAUAUUUAAUACAUUAGCCAUCAGAUUUAUCUUUAUUCAAUUCUUUAUUUUAUUUAUUCAUAACUGUGAAGUUUCGAAGUUGUUUCCUUUUGUAGUGUAUAUAUCAUUUUAUUUGGUAGGGCUUUCAGAUUUUAGAAAUAACUUGUGAAUUAAGGUAGAUAUUGAUUUGUUAUGCAUGAACCAUUACAUAAAAACAAAUUUGUAGACUUUGGAUCAAAAGAAUGCAUGUAUUACAGGACUUAAUUGUGCUAUCUUGUUAGCUGUAGUUAUCUUUUAUUGUCGCGGUGGUGUUUAAUUAUAAAUUACUGGUAUAUUGUGAAGGUAUUAACAUUUUGUAACUACGGUAACCCGAAUCAACGAAGAGCGAUAUCAUUGGUGUCGUGAACUUACAUUGUAACUGCUAUUUAUAAUAUUCUUUGUGCCUCCUGUGUUGUUGUACCAAACUAGCUGUGUAACCACAAACAGUACCCAAGUGCAAUUCUUGUUAAAGGAUUUUAUUAUGUAUACUGCAGGUGAUUUAAUCCAUAAUCAUUGGGUUUUUUUGUUUGUUAUUGACUGGUAGAAUUAUAUUUGUUUUGAUUUACUAUAGUACGAUAACUUACGAGGAAGUAUUAUGUAUUAGUGUUUUUGUAAUUAAAAUAAUUCUCUCUGAAAUAAAUACAUGAACAU
rnacentral:misc_RNA from 1 species